UGUCUCCGGGCGGCGCAGCUCGUUCGCUCUAUUAACAAUGUCGUAACGACUCUCGGCAACGGAUAUCUAGGCUCUCGCAUCGAUGAAGAACGUAGCGAAAUGCGAUACUUGGUGUGAAUUGCAGAAUCCCGUGAACCAUCGAGUCUUUGAACGCAAGUUGCGCCCGAAGCCGUCAGGCCGAGGGCACGUCUGCCUGGGCGUCACGCA
rnacentral:rRNA from 1 species